AUAUUUGCUUUAUUAUUAGGUAAAGAUAUGUGGAUUUACAUGUCGACAUAAUAUUAAAUUAUUUUUUUGUGGGAGAGGAUCCACAUGUAGCUUGCUACAGGGAUCCACGAGUAUCACCCUAGCGGUGCACUACUGCUAGGGCUAGUGCACCCCAA
rfam:Triticum aestivum genome assembly, contig: Triticum_aestivum_CS42_TGACv1_scaffold_130134_2BL